CCCACCCCAGGGCACGGCCGAGCCCCGCAGCCACGGUGGUGCUGCCUCAGGGAUAGUUUAAUUAAGAAAGGGCAAAAAUCACUGCACAGGCGGUGAGGAGUGAGGGAAAAAAAGUGAAACAACCCUGUGAGCCAGUCACAAGAGGAGAGGGAGGGAAGGAGGUGCUCCAGGCACCAGAGCAUGGAUUCCCAAAGGCACUGCAGCCAUGCAGGACCCCUGCAGGGGCAGAAGAAAGUCUGAGAAGGAUAGAGCAGCAGAAAAAAUCCAAAAGAUCCAGGCCUGCUCUGCACCACCCCACUCCGUCACAGAGGGGACAGAGCGUUGCUGCUGCGGUAACAAGGGGGAGGAGAGGUGUCUGUUGAGCCUGGGGAAGGAGAAAGGGCUGAGCAGACUGUGAGAACUUGUGCAUUUUUGAACGUGCCUACCUGUUAAAACUAACGUAUACGAGGAUGAAUUAAUUUUUUUGCCUCAUUUUCUGUGCACUCUUAAACAUCAUGGGCCUGAUUCAUGCUACACAGGAGACGUUGAGACAGGAAGCUUGCAGUUGCCUCCUGCCUUACACACUCUAUAGCCAGGCCAAUGUUUUGGCAUAUGGAGAUUACACAACAGAGAGGAUCGAAAAAUGCACGUACAGUUCUGCAUGGUGAUCCCCUGAAGUGACUUGCUUAGGGACUGUGAAAUAUUAGGCCUUAAAUGACUGCUGAAUGACAGAGAUCCAGAUUGCGGUCCUUGCAUCCACGCUGAAUGCUGCCCGCCUCUGUUGGGAGUCCAGCUAAGGUGCAACUUGCUGAAAGCAGGUCCAUGGGGUUCUCUGCAUUUAUCCUAGAUUUUCAGACACCUGUUCAAGCCUGAGAACAGAUCCAUUGUGAUAACUGAUGGCCAACAUCUGUGAUUCAGCAAAGGAGGAGAUGGUUGAGGAAUACAUGUGGCUGAAUAUGUGCGAAAAGACAAAGCACCUGAAAGAAUAAAGAAAUCGAACAGGAAGUCAACUGUGGCUUGGGAAUGUUUGAAAUAAUUUUCAAAGUUUGGGUGUGAGCUCGAUGUGGGUGACUUCAAGUCAAACAUAUGAUAAGAAUCAAAGCCCUCCUACAAGGACGUGCUUUCUUUAUUGGCAAUGAAAGAGGUCGUCUGUCUAUCCCUUAUAUUUCCUUUUUUUUUCAAUUGUCUGUCUAGAGACAACUCCUGCUUAAAGAGAAUAAACAUAAAGAGAUGCCCAUGUG